rnacentral:misc_RNA from 1 species
GAACGCACAUUGCGCCCCUUGGUAUUCCAUGGGGCAUGCCUGUUCGAGCGUCAUUUGUACCUUCAAGCUCUGCUUGGUGUUGGGUGUUUGUCCUCUCCAUUGCGGUUGGACUCGCCUUAAAGCGAUUGGCAGCCAGUGUAUUGGUUUUAAGCGCAGCACAUUUUGCGUCUUGCUCCCUUUAUCACUUGCGUCCAUUAAGCCUUUUAUCACUUUUGACCUCGGAUCAGGUAGGGAUACCCGCUGAACUUAAG